CAACAGGCUCGAUUUCCCAGCAGACUGGAUUUAAAGGGAAUUUGCGACUGUUAGUCAGAUUUGUAGAACAGCCACACCUUCCUUUUAAGAUCUUGCCUGCUGCUCUUUCCCCAACGGCCUG
rnacentral:precursor_RNA from 8 species